rnacentral:rRNA from 1 species
ACGCUCGACACCUACGGAGGCAGCAGUGGGGAAUAUUGCACAAUGGGGGAAACCCUGAUGCAGCAACGCCGCGUGAAGGAAGACGGUUUUCGGAUUGUAAACUUCUGUUCUUAGUGAAGAUAGUGACGGUAGCUAAGGAGCAAGCCACGGCUAACUACGUGCCGGCAGCCGCGGUAAUCUGAGCGGGCUGGCAAGGC